CAGUGCUGGUGAAGCCUUUUUUGAGAAGCACACAGAAAAUCUGCCAUCCCAAACCCAAAUCUCCUUCCCACUGGCCACCAGCCUGAGCAGGAGCUGUGUCCAGGUGCUCCAUCCCAGCUCUGACUCCUGCUGGAUAUUUCCCUAUUCCUGAUCUCCUUUUUGGCAGCUGGGUGAGAAGGGAAUGCCACGGCCAAGGAGGGAAUGCCAGGGAGGGAUUGCCAAGGUUCAAGCUGAAUUCCAAGGGGACAGGAGUGCUGUGUGUCACCUCUGCACCAGAGCCGUGUUUGGGGCGAACCAAGACCUGAGCACAUCCUUUUCCAUCUCCACUCCUUUCCAGGGUGGGUUCUCCCAAAUGAAGACAACCACUCAGAAUACGUUCCCGAGGAGUUGGGCCUAGCAAUAUGGCAGCGCACGUUCCAUAGGAAACCCUGCAGAAUGCUGCUGCUGCUGCUGAGCUCCGUUCCCAAGGAGGGCACAAUCCCUGCCCCGCCCCGGCCUCCACCACUGCGGGCCCUGAGCUUUCUCCACCCCAAAAUUCCAUCCCUGGAUUUGCAAAGAUGCUGCAGCACGAAUUUUUUUGGCUGCUGAAAAACUUUGGGAGAAGCUGGAUGCUUUUAAGCCCUCGAGCAGCGUGGUGUUAACAUUCCCAAAAAAGCACCAUGGCAGCCUCUCAGUGCUCCUGCCUGCAUGGUCAGCAAGCAGAAGUCUCCAAAGG